AAACCAGCACCUCAAGUGGUCAGGAUGAUUAUUGGGCCUAAAGCAUCCGUAGCCUGUUCUAUAAGUUUCCGGUUAAAUCCACUAGCUCAACUAGUGGGCUGCCGAAAAUACUGUAGAACUAGGGAGUGGGAGAGGUAGACGGUAUUCGGUAGGAAGGGGUAAAAUCCUUUGAUCUAUUGAGGACCACCUGUGGCGAAGGCGGUCUACCAGAACACGUUCGACGGUGAGGGAUGAAAGCUGGGGGAGCAAACCGGAUUAGAAACCCCAGUAGUCC
rnacentral:rRNA from 1 species